AUUGAACGCUGGCGGCAUGCCUUACACAUGCAAGUCGAACGGUAACGGGCCUUCGGGUGCCGACGAGUGGCGAACGGGUGAGUAAUACAUCGGAACGUGCCCGAUCGUGGGGGAUAACGAGGCGAAAGCUUUGCUAAUACCGCAUACGAUCUACGGAUGAAAUCAGGGGACCGCAAGGCCUUGCGCGGGCGGAGCGGCCGAUGGGAGAUUAGGUAGUUGGUGGGAUAAAAGCUUACCAAGCCGACGAUCUGUAGCUGGUCUGAGAGGAUGAUCAGCCACACUGGGACUGAGACACGGCCCAGACUCCUACGGGAGGCAGCAGUGGGGAAUUUUGGACAAUGGGCGCAAGCCUGAUACAGCCAUGCCGCGUGCAGGAUGAAGGCCUUCGGGUUGUAAACUGCUUUUGUACGGAACGAAAAGCCUUCUUUUAAUACAGGAGGGUCAUGACGGUACCGUAAGAAUAAGCACCGGCUAACUACGUG
rnacentral:rRNA from 1 species